GACGAACGCUGGCGGCGUGCUUAACACAGGCAAGUCGAACGGAAGGGCCCUGCUUUUGUGGGGUGCUCGAGUGGCGAACGGGUGAGUAACACGUGAGUAACCUGCCCUUGACUUUGGGAUAACUUCAGGAAACUGGGGCUAAUACCGGAUAGGAGCUCCUGCUGCAUGGUGGGGGUUGGAAAGUUUCGGCGGUUGGGGAUGGACUCGCGGCUUAUCAGCUUGUUGGUGGGGUAGUGGCUUACCAAGGCUUUGACGGGUAGCCGGCCUGAGAGGGUGACCGGCCACAUUGGGACUUAGAUACGGCCCAGACUCCUACGGGAGGCAGCAGUGGGGAAUAUUGCACAAUGGGCGGAAGCCUGAUGCAGCAACGCCGCGUGCGGGAUGACGGCCUUCGGGUUGUAAACCGCUUUCGCCUGUGACGAAGCGUGAGUGACGGUAAUGGGUAAAGAAGCACCGGCUAACUACGUG
rnacentral:rRNA from 1 species